UUGAAACUUUAACUCUGUCCUGAGGUUUGUCAGCUUUUCUCCACUAGAGGGAGCCUGAGACCUUCUGUGGGCGUGAGUCGGCGUCUGCACACCUGUCCUCCAUCUACUCAUUUGGAGGCAUAUAAAUGGAGGAGGAUGCUGACACUUCUCUGCCAGAGUGUUAGCCUGUAACGCUACCCUGGUCUGGAGCUAUCAGGUCAUCAGUCGCCCUCGAGACGGAACCCUCACCGCCUUGAGCCUUACCUGUCCGUCCUCUGCCGCCGCCUCUGAUUUCGACCCUCAACCCGCUGACCAGCCUCUAGACCCUCAAGGUCCUCUCCCGGUCCAAUACUUCCCCCCGAACAGUUGCCCUGAGAUCUGCCAGACGAACCGGGAUCCUAAUUCCUUUUGUUUGAAUUCACUGUAAAUAAAUCACACUAUUGUA